rnacentral:lncRNA from 1 species
CUUAGGGCCAUUAGAAAAACCCACACACCUAUUCUCAGCCAUUACUUGGAUUCAACUCACUGUCAAAUCUACCAUUCUUUUUGCUUUGCUCUCUACAUCCUUGUAAAAAGAAAAUCCCCCAAAAAGCCACCCUCCAAUCCCUUCCCUCCAUGAAAGAACUGAUUUAAAAAUAAAAAGGCUGGAAUCAAUAGACCAGAUACAUCAGACUCAAAUGCUUAAAGGAUUAAGAAUGUGGCGGUGUAGCACAAGUUUUGGAGUUCUCUUACCUGAGCUGCCUCUGGCUAUAUUUGAGAGCUGGCAUUUCCCGCCUCCACCGCCUCCAUCAGAGGUGUUGCCAGUGUUUUUGUUAUCUCUGCUUGUGCCUCCAGGGUUGCUGGUGCCUUUGCUGCUGGUUUUGCUGUGGUCACAUGCAUCACCACCAGGGUCACUGGGAUGGCAGGCACCUCUGCUGUGUCCAAGGUUGCCUGGGUCACUAACACUGCUGCUGUGGUUGAUGCAGGGGAGCCAAGGUCACUGGCACCUUCACUGCACCCAAGGUUGUCAGGUUCCCAGGUACAACCACCAAAAGCAGGAAGGGUGGAGUUGCAGGAGCUGCCACUGCUCUCUCAGGGGGCCAGGGUCACAUUCCCUGUGGAGCCUGGGUUCCUUGUGGCCAUAAGUGUCACCGGCUGGGGGACUGGAGUCACAUGUGCUCCUCCACUGAUGCUAUCAGGUUCUCUGGGGGUGAAGGCACCACUGCAGCUGGAGAGGGGGUGAGGGUCAUGGGCCCCACCUCCCCCACUGCUACUGGGAUUACUGGGGCUGUGGGCUCAGCUGCUGCAGCCAGGGAGGUGUGGUCUCAGGCCCCAUCUCUGCUGUUUCCCUGGUCUCACCACCUCUAUGCAUUCCAGUCUACCCGCCUUCAGAUGUACAGAUGUGUGGAUCCCUCCAGUGUCCUGGUGUGCUGAGCAGAGGAACCUUUGUUGAGUUAUGAAUAUCCUACCUAGUUGUAGAUUGAAGGAAAGAAACAAAAGGAGAAUCUCAUGCCACCAUGAUGCUGAUGUCACUCCUUGAUCUGUCUAUUCUUUUACCAAUAUUACUGCUUUCAUCAUUUUGGGUCUACAAUUAAUAAAUUAUUUCAUCCCAUAAUCAUUGAGUACCUGGUGUGUGUCUGAAACUGUGUUUGGCAUGAGGAUACAGCAGUUUAUCAGGUGGACAUAGUUCCUGCCCUCACAUUCAUUGUUUCUAGUGCAGGAAACAGGAAAUAAUCAAUGUGUACAGCCUAGUGAGCCAUGGGCACUGAGAAAAGAGGCACAAGGUGUUAGGGGAACAUAUGGUAAGGGUCUAUUCCACACUAGGAGUCAAUGAGGAUUCCUGAAUGAGUGAUAUCUAAGUUUAGUCCUGAGGUUCAUGGUAGGCAGGCAAACAGACGAGAGAGAAGUUGAAGAUGGAUGGAACAACAACCUGACAAUCUGAGAGUCAAUAGAGAGCCUGGUGCAUUUGAGAAGCUGAAAACAAUUCUGCAUGGCUGGAGCAGAGUACAGAGGGUUGGUUCCGGACAGGGGAGCCAAACUAUGUUAAG